rnacentral:rRNA from 1 species
AAUCUGGGGUCCCCGACCCCCGAGUUGUAAUUUGGAGAGGCAUCUUCGGGGGGGAGCGCCGGCCCAUGUUCCUUGGAACAGGACGUCGCAGAGGGUGAGAAUCCCGUGCCAGGCCGGCUGCCUCCUCCCGGGUGAAGGGCCUUCGACGAGUCGAGUUGUUUGGGAAUGCAGCUCCAAGUGGGUGGUAAAUUUCAUCUAAAGCUAAACACCGGCGGGAGACCGAUAGCGCACAAGUAGAGUGAUCGAAAGAUGAAAAGCACUUUGAAAAUAGAGUCAAAAAGUACGUGAAAUUGUUGAAAGGGAAGCGCUUGAGACCAGACUCGGGCCCGGGCAAACACCGCGCCCCACGGGGCCGUGCAAUUGCCUGGGGCUGGGCCAGCAUCAGUCGGCGUGGCGGGACAAAGGCGCGGGGAAUGUGGCUCCCCUCGGGGAGUGUUAUCAGGCCCGCGCUCAAUGCCGCCGACGCCGACUGAGGACCGCGCCUCGGCUAGGAUGCUGGCUUAAUGGCCUUCAGCGACCCGUCUUGAAACACGGACCAAGGAGUCUAACAUCUAUGCGAGUGUUUGGGCGCCAAACCCUUGCGCGGAAUGAAAGUGAGCGGAGGUGGGAACCCCCCAGCGGGGCGCACCAUCGACCGAUCCUGAUGUCUUCGGAUGGAUUUGAGUAG